rnacentral:tRNA from 1 species
AAAUAGGUAAGCUAAUCAAAGCUAUUGGGUUCAUACCCCACUUAUAAAGGUUGCCCCUUUCUUAUUUA